rnacentral:rRNA from 1 species
AAUUUUCCGCAAUGGGCGAAAGCCUGACGGAGCAAUACCGCGUGAGGGAUGACGGCCUGUGGGUUGUAAACCUCUUUUCUCAAGGAAGAAGUUCUGACGGUACUUGAGGAAUAAGCAUCGGCUAACUCUGUGCCAGCAGCCGCGGUAAUACAGAGGAUGCAAGCGUUAUCCGGAAUCACUGGGCAUAAAGCGUCUGUAGGUGGUUUGGUAAGUCUGCUGUUAAAGACUGGGGCUCAACCCCAGAAAAGCAGUGGAAACUGCUAGACUUGAGUGUGGUAGAGGUAGAGGGAAUUCCUAGUGUAGCGGUGAAAUGCGUAGAUAUUAGGAAGAACACCAAUGGCGAAGGCACUCUACUGGGCCAUAACUGACACUGAGAGACGACAGCUAGGGGAGCAAAUGGGAUUAGAUACCCCUGUAGUC